GAGUUUGAUCCUGGCUCAGGAUGAACGCACAAGACGUGCCUAACACAUGCAAAUCGAAUGAAAAGAAUUAAUUAUUGUUUUCAUGGUGAACGGGUGAGUAACACAUAAGAAUCAGCUUUUAGAUAAGGCAUAAAAGAGUAAUAUCUUGGUAAUUCCUUAUAUGCGCAGCAGUGCUUAAAAAGGGGAGUCCCGUCUAAAAACGAGCUUAUGCCUGAUUAGCUAGUUGGCGAGUUAAAAGCUCACCAAGGCGAAGAUCAGUAGCUGGCCUGAGAGGGCGGCCAGCCACAUUGGGACUGAGACACGGCCCAAACUCCUACGGGAGGCAGCAGUGGGGAAUCUUCUGCAAUGGGCGCAAGCCUGACAGAGCGGCGUCGUGUGAAGGAAGAAGGCCUGAAAUAGGUUGUAAACUUCUUUUACUGAGUAAUGAAUAAUGACAACGCAGUAAAAAAGUAUCGGCUAACUCCGUGCCAGCAGCCGCGGUAAUACGGGGGAUGCAAGCGUUAUCCGGAAUCACUGGGCGUAAAGCGUCUGUAGGUGGUUUAGUGUGUUCUUAGUUAAAUUAUGAAGCCUAACUUCAUGAAAAGUAAGAAAACUAUUAGACUUGAGUACGAUAGGGGUAAGAGGAAUUCUUCGAGAAGUAGUGAAAUGCGAAGAUACGAAGGAGAAGAUCAUAAGCGAAGGCUUCUUACUGGGUCGUAACUGACACUGAGAGACGAAAGCUAGGGGAGCGAAUGGGAUUAGAUACCCCAGUAGUCCUAGCUGUAAACGAUGGAUAUUCGGUGCCGGAAAUUUUAUUAGAACAUUUCGGUACCCUAGCUAACGCGUUAAAUAUCCCGCCUGAGGAGUACGCUCGCAAGGGUGAAACUCAAAGGAAUUGACGGGGGCUCGCACAAGCGGUGGAGCAUGUGGUUUAAUUCGAUGCAAAGCGAAGAACCUUACCAGGGCUUGACAGUAUG
rnacentral:rRNA from 1 species